rnacentral:lncRNA from 1 species
AUAAGUAUCCAACAUAUGUUGUAUUUCAUAACAAAAGUAGAUCAAACAAAUCAAAAUUGAAUUUUAAUUCUACAUUGUGUUUUCUACCUUAAUUCAAAUUAAUUGUAAUUUUUCAGUCAAGCCUCACAUAAACUUCAAGAAAACUAUUCCCUCUCAGUUUGAAUGGAUGAAUAAACCAGAACGAUGUAAUGCUUCACUGCUUAACAUCAACUGCAUCAAUGACAAGAACAGUAAGUAAUGGACAUGUUUUUUUAACAGCAAUUUGAACUGAAAAUCCUUCUUUUUUUUUUUUUUUGUCAUACUAUAUUUUCAUUGAUGAUUAAACAGAGAAGGGGAUGAUGAAUGAGUUUUCUCCUCUUUAUUUAUCAGAAAACAGCAUAAUUUAUGGUUUAAAUACCCCAGUGUCAUUAUUACCAGACACACAGUACAACUGCACUGGAGAAUAUCCUCAUGAGAAACAACACAUCAAGAGUCAUGAGCUCUCCUUCAGAAUAGAAUGUGGUCAGAUCAAACUUACAAAGAAUGGAGACGAAACAACAGACCAAGAGAUGAUUAUGAAUGACUGCAACAAUGUAGAGAAAUAUUGUGUAAAUCUUUAAACCAGUAUACCAUCAGUAAAGAAUGACCUGAUAUCCACAGGAAGCACAAAUUUUACUUCUGUUAGAGUUUUACCCCAACAAAACAUUUUUGAAAGAAAUAGAGGUCAAUAAUAAUUUGACAAUGAAUAAUUUGUUUUGAAAAACUCUGACAAUUAAAGUAAUUAAUUAAUAAAUAACAGUCAGAUUCCAACAGUCCAACAGAAGCCUGCAUUUAUUUGAUUCAAAGUAAAGCAAAUACAGUAACAUUUUAAAAUAUGUUUACCAUUUAAAACAUCUGUCCUCUAUUUCAUUUAAUCUAUUCUAAAAUAUUGACACAUGCAAACAAGGAGGAUUCAGUGUGCCCACAUUUGGGUGCGGGUUAAGAGGUAAAUAUAAUCAUGUAUUUUAAAAUGUAAUUUAUUUCUGUGAUCAAAACUGAUUUUUUAGCAUUAUUACUCCAGUCACAUGAACCUUUAGAAAUCAUUACAAUAUACAGAUUUUCUGCUCAAAAACAUUUUAUUAUUAUUAUUAUUAUUAUUAUUAAUAAAGCUUCAAUCACCGGAAUAUAUAUAUUUUUUUUAAAUGUAUCCAAAUAGAAAGAAAUAGUUAGUUAUUCUAAAUAGUACAAAUAUUUCACAAUAUUACUGCUUUUGCUGUAUUUUUGAUCAAAUAAGUACAGUAUAUACGUAUUUUUUAUGCUGUCACAUUUAACAAUUUCCAGUUUGUUCAGACUUAAAAACAUAAUGGUUUGAUUUUGUAACAUUAUGUAAUGAUAGUCAUUUUUAAAUGUGAUUAAAUGUGUCCAAAUACUCUUUGGGGACAAAAGAGAACGGCUGUAAAUGUAUUACCUUUUCUGUAAGCAAUUAAUGUCAAUGUUUUGCUUUAAUUAAUUGUUUGCCACAAGCUAACUUUACAUUAUUAUGUUAACAAAUGAUAGUUAAAACAACAUUACAAAAUUUGGACCAUAAAUGUAAUGCAAUGCAGCACCGAUCAAGGUUUAAUCAGGGUUUCUGCAUCGUCUUUGCGUGUCUAAUGACAUCUUUGUUUGUCUGAAAAGCAGGGCUGCUGCUGGCCAAAUGGGUGCCCAGUAAGCAGUAUUGUAUUGUUGUGCCCCCCUCCCUCAAAUAUCAUGAAAAAAUAUAUAUACUACAUGGGUAAAAACAGAAUUUUAAUUAAAUAAAAAGUAAAUGAAUAACAACAUUUGUAUUGUGUACAAUUUACAAUUGUAGCUCUCGACAGUUACCUAUGGAUAUUACUUUAAUGAUACAGUUGUCUAAUUGAUUUUAUAAUCUCAAGCAUUCAGAAAUCAUGCAAAAGAAAAUUAAGUAGUUUUACUAUGAUAAAACCAUGGUUUAUUUUUGUAAGGGUUGUGAUGUCCACAUGUUUUUUGUCGAAUAAAGUAUAAAGGUUGUUUCAUAACAAAAAGCUGGCCAAAAAUGAAAGGUUAAGCAACUAUUUGAAUGAAAUGUUUGGCCAGUAGCCUAAACAAGGAUCUGAUUGUCCUGUAAGUGUAACAGCAGCAAUUACCCUUUCGCUCCCUUUACAGGUAUUUGUAAUAAUUUUGUAAUAAAAUAUUUUGUAUUAGCCUUCAUUAUGUAUUUUAACAGUGGCAUUAACCAAUCAUUAUUGCCUCAUUGUUUUUUUUUUUUUUUUGUAUAAUCCAUUUGAAGUCAUUUUAAAGGCUAUUGAUGGCUUAGGUCUGAAAACAAUUGAAUAUAACAUGUAUCAAUAUUAUUGUUUUCCAAAGACUGUAUAACUGUAACUCAACAAGCAUUAAACUUGUCCUUUUAUAUUCUGUUGUAUGGUCAUUUACAUUGCAUUUGAAGUUGAAAAUCUAAAGAAUGAAUACAAAUGCAACUUUAUUUAACUGCAUAAAAAUAAUAUCAGAAUGUUGUUUUAGAGUCCAAUAAAUACAAAUUUUUAGAAUUUGCAGAUUCCCUCUCAGACCUUCUGUUUACAGUUGAUAAAGGGUUAAUCACGGGAGAUUUUAAUAUUCAUGUUGAUAAUACAAAUGAUGCAUUAGGACUUGUGUUUACUGCCUCAAAGUGAUGAUGUUACAGACCAUUUCCUUUUAUCGUGCAUGCUGCAUAUCUGUUACAGAGGAGGUUCCUGUACUGCCUCCCUUGCACCACCAGGGGGAGCCAUCACCCGAAUAUUAGUUUUACUAUAAACUCCAUUUCCCACAAGGCCUCACACCUGGGACUAAUUACACUUACACCUGCACCUCAUUUCCACACUCAUAUAAGCUGCUCACACACACACACACUCAUUUGCGAAGUCUUGAUUUGCCCCAGCUGUCAGUUAUGAGCGUUAUUACCCGUGUUUUGUUUUCUUCUCUUAACCCUGGACUGUUUCACGUUAUUGAUUGCUCUCUCUGCCUCAACUUUCUGCCUGAGUACCUGUCUCUGCCUUGCCCCCAUUGCUCAGUAUGCUGUCGUUUGACCCUGUCUGACUAUCCAAAAUAAAGAGCUGCAAAUGGAUCAAACUCCGUCUGGUUCUUCGCAACAGUAUCACUGAUAUUAACCACAUGUCUCAGCGUUACCAUCUGGUCAGAAUUAUUGUUCAAGUCACCAAAAACAGAUUCGCAAAUAACCUGCCUGAUCUACCUCAACUGCUAUAUGUACCCAAAAAUACACAUGAACUAGACGAAAUGACCGACAACAUGGCCACUAUUUUUUCUAAUACAUUAGAAGCUGUUGCCCCCAUCAAAUUGAAAAAGUUUAAUAAAAAUGUACUGUGGC